rnacentral:rRNA from 1 species
UGUCGGGUAAGUUCCGACCUGCACGAAUGGCGUAACGAUGGGGGCGCUGUCUCUACCCGAGACUCAGUGAAAUUGAAAUCGCCGUGAAGAUGCGGUGUAUCCGCGGCUAGACGGAAAGACCCCGUGAACCUUUACUAUAGCUUCACAGUGAACUUUGAGCAUGUUUGUGUAGGAUAGCUGGGAGGCUUUGAAGUGGGAACGCCAGUUCUCAUGGAGCCAACCUUGAAAUACCAGCCUGACAUGUUUGAGGUUCUAACUUGGUCCCCUUAUCGGGGAUGAGGACACUGUGUGGUGGGUAGUUUGACUGGGGCGGUCUCCUCCCAAAGCGUAACGGAGGAGCACAAAGGUGGGCUAAGCAUGGUCGGACAUCAUGCGGUUAGUGUAAUGGCACAAGCCCGCUUAACUGCGAGACAGACACGUCGAGCAGGUACGAAAGUAGGUCAUAGUGAUCCGGUGGUUCUGUAUGGAAGGGCCAUCGC